AUCGAACAAGGCAGAAGGAGGGGGAAACCCUAAACUCAAGAAAUCAAGCAAUUGAAGCCUAAAAUCAUAAGAAAAUCCAGUGCAUGAGCCCUCUUAUCGAUCAUCUAAGCAUACCUAGUGAAGUGCUUGAAAGAAUAAGAACCAUGUCAAGAUGGACUCAAAUAUGGAAGGCUAACGGAUCAAGAGGAAAUGAGGAAGAUAUGCACAAACUUGGACGCACGAGGUAAGUGAUUUCUAUAAUCACUUCUUUAGUUGUUUAAGUAAUAUGAUGUUUUAAUUGUUAAGUUCAUACGAAGUUGAGGUCAAAUCAAUAGAUUAUUUUGAUAAAUGCACGAAUGGGUCGAAUAAUUCAUAGAUGAAUAACAAGCCGAAUAUGUAUAAGUUAAGAAAUUCCUUAACUCGGAUGUUUGACUUCAAGAUCACAUGAUAGGAUAUUAAAUUACAAUCAUAUAGGAAGAAACGUGACGCAAAACGGAUGAAAAAUGAGAGAGUUAUGUCCGUUUCGGUAAGGAUUAAUGGCUAGGAAAAGUGCAGAGUCGACACGGCCGGGUGGUGAAAUGACACGGCCGGGUGAAGGUUCUGUCAAAAAUAUUAUUUAUGUGAUUUAUGCGCCGUAGGCUUCGGUAUAUUAUCCGUGAACUACGACGGGCCUCCCAAACAUGAUUUCGAGUGUUUCCUUGACGAUUAUAAGUUGUAAACCCAAGUCAAAGCCUCAUGUAAUUUAUAUAAGAGUGUGAUAGAUGUAUGUAAUGAAGUUGGACAUGUAUUACAUGUAAAUGUAUACAAAAAUACGUACGGAAUAUGUAGGUAUGAAUACAUGAUUGUAGGUAUGAUUAAAUGUAUAUUAGGUAUGUAGAUGUGUAUGAUUGUAAGUUUGUAUGUGUGCAAGUAUGUGCGAAUGCAUGAUUUGGAUGCAUUUGAGAAUUAGCGUUACUAAUAAUGCCCUUGGGUUUGGAAUAUAAGUUAAUUGGAAGCAUUUAAAUGGUUGACGUCCUUUUUAUGAAGAUGUAGUAAAUGAAUAUGUUGAGAUUACGGGUUUGGCUAACCAAGUUAUUAUUGAGUAUGUUUGAAAGUGCAGGUUAUGAAUGUCGGACUUUCGAAGUGUUGAUAUAAUAAUGAAACGGUUGAAUGUUGAAAGGAUAAUCGGAUUGAAGUAACUUAUGCGGUUAGAAUAUGCUGUGGACGUUUUAGUUUAUACAACAUUUUAUGUUUGGUCGUCAUCAUCUACCAACGGGUAAAUCCUCAAUUCAGGCGACUUGGAGAAUCGGAGCGAGCGCGUGUUCAUGUUAUGUCAUACCAAACGCUUCCGCUAGCUUGUUCAAAUGUUUUUAGUCCAAAUUUGUUGUAUUGAUUCUUAGUAGUAUUUUGUCGAAUGAAUCGUAGAAUUGUAUCUAGUUUGAUUAUGUUUAAAAU